rnacentral:tRNA from 2 species
GGCUCAGUGGUCUAGUCGCAUGAUUCCUGCUUCGGGUGCAGGAGGUCCCGGGUUCAAUUCCCGGCUGAGCCC